UACGUAGGGUGCAAGCGUUGUCCGGAAUUAUUGGGCGUAAAGAGCUCGUAGGCGGUUUGUCGCGUCUGCUGUGAAAACCCGAGGCUCAACCUCGGGCCUGCAGUGGGUACGGGCAGACUAGAGUGCGGUAGGGGAGAUUGGAAUUCCUGGUGUAGCGGUGGAAUGCGCAGAUAUCGGGAGGAACACCGGUGGCGAAGGCGGUUCUCUGGGCCUGUACUGACGCUGAGGCACGAAAGCGUGGGGAGCAAACAGG
rnacentral:rRNA from 1 species